AUUACUUUAUAACAGUGACCUUAACAUAUUUGAACGAAAAAAGAAAGCGAAAAAUAUCAUUUCUUCAAAUCUUUAUUAAUUUUGAUGCACCCAGUUUAAAAGAAAACAGUUUAAAAACUGCGGAUUUAUAAUUGGGACUGAAACAAUUUAACCUGAGGACAACAUAAAUUUAUGGAAAUUCCAGUGAAUUUUACGUUUAUGCGAAAUAAAACUUACCGCUUAAAUAAUUAAACUACGGGUAGUACUCCCGCACGAUAAUUUAAACGACAGCAGUUUAUAUUAUCGUUUGAUUGUUAUGGCUUUCAUGCAUCGUUGAACUCAAAAAUGUUGUCAAUGAUAGAAGUUAAGUGGAUACUGUAACUUUAUACAAAAAUAUUUUCUGUAUUGAUACGUUUUAAUGAAGAAAAAUUAUUAUUAUCAAACAUGUUCUCGUUUGAGUUAUCGUGCGGAAUUUAUAGUACAUUUUCUUCAUUAAACGAAACAAAAACAAAAUGUGUUUAGCCUUGGGAAGUACGUCGGAAAAGAAAGACUACACAGCUUAUAUUUGUACUUGUUAUAUUCCGCUGUUAUCUCGCUCAGUUAGUGUAUGACUUGGACACAAUCAGUCUUAAAUAUAUGUAUAUAGCGCAUUGUGGUCAGUUACUGAGAAUCAUUUGCCUAAGGUGAAACGUGAAGUCAUGUUUUAGAUAAUGGACCAGAAACCAGAUACACAAGUUACUGGUGUACAUUUCUUACAAGUAAAAUAUGUUUGCCAAAGAAUGGAACUGCCCUAUGUGAAUCCUAGGUCACUAGAUAUACCUCGACGUAUGGAAUGUUUGUCUUCAGCUCAAGUUUGUAUGAUAAAAAGCUGAAGCCACCUUGUUGUAGUUUAAAAGGAUGCGAUAGUUUUGAUACUGGAGCUGUACUUCUGUCACCCAGUACAGAAGAUGAAGAUCCCAGAUCGAUAACUGUAUAUAAGAAUAUUAAAUAUAUGCAGUUCUUUACCAUUCACGGGGCAGAUACAAAAACACUUCCAACUGAUCAAUAUAUUUACUCGUUUUGUUUAUUUGAUAAAAGUAUGUUGAUUAUUAAACUCUAAAAAAAACCUUAAACCUAACAGUUAGUAUUUUAUCUAGGUGACAUAUUUAAAAAUAUUGUAAGUACCGACAAUUGUCUUGUAACUUCGUUAUACUAUAGCAUAGGUUAUACUCGGUAUGUUUUUAUUUUGGGUAGUUUAAGCGAGCAGUGCGACUUGGUGUUUUUAACAUCAUUUAUAAGGCCUGUGCAUAUCAAAUCGUGAAAUUAAAGCAACGAGAAAAAUAUAUAAUCUGCAAUAUUCUAGUGAAUCGAUGAAAUAACAACAAAGGUUAUAGAACUUAAUUUGUCGAAAUGUUUUUAAGUGUGUACUUUUGAUUAAAAACCUACAUUGAAUUGUAUUUAACGCUAUUUUGCCAUAUUAUAUUUGUGAAAGAGCAAUGACAUCACAAUGCCUAAGAUGUUUUAGACACUACCCCCUUCCACUCCACACAGUAAGGUGUUCUUGAUUGAAGAUAUUGUUUAAUCGGUGUAUUUGAUAGUAUAUAGUUUGUAGGAAUUAUAUUAUGGUGGAGGAAUAAUAUUACUACAUCUUUAUUUUAAUAAGACUAACAACGUCUGCAGUUUUACCACAUAUUUGAUGUUUUAUUGCUGUUUUAUACGGUGGCACAGAGUUGUGGCCACAAUUUACUAAGUUGUGGCCACAAUUUAAAUACAGUGUUGCGGAUGUCACCUCUGUGCCACCGUAGUUUUAUGAAUAUGAACACAUCCCCUAAAAUUAGAUCAAAUUUCAUUUAGUUUAUAUCAGCUGUACAGUGAGUUAAAUAAUAAUUACCUUAAUAAAUUCUGCCUUUUUACUACAAUGAAUGUUGAAGUUAAUCUAUUGUGAUCGCCCUCGGAAGUCCAGUGUCGUUGUUUACAAUUUACUGUAGGUCACAAUAUUCUACCAAUCUUAAUGAAUUUUCAUCAAACUAUAUGCCUCAAUAAAAUUUACGAAGAGUUUGUUACUGGAUAAUCUCGGGUUGAAAUCAAGUGCACUUGGCCACUCAUACAAAACCAUUGUUACUACUUUAGACGCCACAUUUUCUACCUGGUCAAGCUCGACAUAGCAUAUGUACAAUAAAAAUCUAAGCCAGCUGAGCGAUACAGGGCCUAUGCGGUCCUUUUGUUAGUUCUUUCUCUAAAAGGAAACAAAACUUAUGUCCGCCAGCACCAACCUCAGUGUAGAAUAAACCUUAAUUUAAUACUCAAGAUACUACAUUUUCAGCUGAUCUACAUGAAACCGUGUAUAAUACUUAUAUUAUAUAACAAAUUAAAAACAAGUUAUGUAGUCGAAUCAUAGAAAAUCUUGUUCGGAGGCAUUGUUUCUACUUAAGCUACAUAAAGCUUGGUCAGAAUAUAAAAUUUUAUAUGAAUGAAAUCUAAGUUAAGUUCAAAACUUUCAAAACAGUCAUUUGGAGUCAUCCAGAUCUUAGAAAAAAUGUUAAUAAACACGAAUGAGCAUUUUAUAUAUGAUCUAUCCAAUACCUGGUCACAAUGUUUGUCUUUAUAAAGUCUUGGUACAGUUAGAAACUGGAUCAUCUGAGCUUAGAAAGAAUGUCACUAGUUAAAAUAAUAGGAAUGCUUUGUUAACACUCAAUAAA